GACGAACGCUGGCGGCGUGUUUAACACAUGCAAGUCGAACGAUGAAAGAGGGAGCUUGCUUCUUCUGGAUUAGUGGCGAACGGGUGAGUAACACGUGAGCAAUCUGCCCUUGACUCUGGGAUAAGCGUUGGAAACGACGUCUAAUACCGGAUACGACCCUCGGAGGCAUCUCCUGGGGGUGGAAAGAAUUUUGGUCAAGGAUGAGCUCGCGGCCUAUCAGCUAGUUGGUGAGGUAAUGGCUCACCAAGGCGACGACGGGUAGCCGGCCUGAGAGGGUGACCGGCCACACUGGGACUGAGACACGGCCCAGACUCCUACGGGAGGCAGCAGUGGGGAAUAUUGCACAAUGGGCGAAAGCCUGAUGCAGCAACGCCGCGUGAGGGAUGACGGCCUUCGGGUUGUAAACCUCUUUUAGUAGGGAAGAAGCGAAAGUGACGGUACCUGCAGAAAAAGCACCGGCUAACUACGUGCCAGCAGCCGCGGUAAUACGUAGGGUGCAAGCGUUGUCCGGAAUUAUUGGGCGUAAAGAGCUCGUAGGCGGUUUGUCGCGUCUGCUGUGAAAUCUGGGGGCUCAACCCCCAGCCUGCAGUGGGUACGGGCAGACUAGAGUGCGGUAGGGGAGAUUGGAAUUCCUGGUGUAGCGGUGGAAUGCGCAGAUAUCAGGAGGAACACCGAUGGCGAAGGCAGAUCUCUGGGCCGUAACUGACGCUGAGGAGCGAAAGCAUGGGGAGCGAACAGGAUUAGAUACCCUGGUAGUCCAUGCCGUAAACGUUGGGGAACUAGAUGUGGGGACCAUUCCACGGUCUCCGUGUCGCAGCUAACGCAUUAAGUUCCCCGCCUGG
rnacentral:rRNA from 1 species